rnacentral:rRNA from 1 species
UACGGAGGGGGCUAGCGUUGCUCGGAAUUACUGGGCGUAAAGGGUGUGUAGGCGGAUACUUAAGUUAGAGGUGAAAGCCCAGGGCUCAACCCUGGAACAGCCUUUAAUACUGGGUAUCUUGAGUUCGGGAGAGGUAAGUGGAACUCCGAGUGUAGAGGUGAAAUUCGUAGAUAUUCGCAAGAACACCAGUGGCGAAGGCGGCUCACUGGCCCGAUACUGACGCUGAGGCACGAAAGCGUGGGGAGCAAACAGG